UCGAGAAUUUUUCACAAUGGGCGCAAGCCUGAUGGAGCGACGCCGCGUGGGGGAUGAAUGGCUUCGGCCCGUAAACCCCUGUCAUUUGCGAUCAAACCUUGCUAUUUAAAAGAUGGCGAGCUGAUAGUAGCGAAAGAGGAAGGGACGGCUAACUCUGUGCCAGCAGCCGCGGUAAUACAGAGGUCCCAAGCGUUGUUCGGAUUCACUGGGCGUAAAGGGUGCGUAGGUGGUGGGGUAAGUCGGAUGUGAAAUCUCGGAGCUCAACGCCGAAAUGGCAUUGGAAACUACCCUGGUAGAGGGUCGGAGGGGGGGCUGGAAUUCUCGGUGUAGCAGUGAAAUGCGUAGAUAUCGAGAGGAACACCAGUGGCGAAGGCGAGUCCCUGGACGACUCCUGACACUGAGGCACGAAAGCUAGGGGAGCAAACA
rnacentral:rRNA from 1 species